UAAAUUCUGAUUGUAGGUAAUGGGACACUGAUUGGAGCAUCUGCCAACGUUGUUUGUGCAGGGAUUGCAGAGCAGCAUGGAUAUGGAUUCUCUUUCAUGGAAUUUUUCAGCUCCUGUUCAGCAGAGGCAGAGCCUGCAAGGUGCACACAGCACAGCUCUGCAAAAUCAGUUUGGUGGGUUCUUCGUGAAUCAGACAGAAGAGCUGACUACCAGCAGCAUAAACAGACGUUGAAAGAAUCGGAUCACCCUUAUGUUACCUUUUAUGUGAAUUGACAUUUUCUGUCUUGGUUUCUCAAUUUUGUCAACAAAAUAUAAAUGUCCUAAGAUGUUCCUGACAAUGGAAUUUGAAAUAGAAUUACCCCCAAAAUUGCAUUAGAAAAUGCCCCCAGUGCUGCUCUAUUGGGAGACUCUUGAUAUUCAUUUUUCUUUUUAAAUAGAUGUAUUUUAUCACAGAGGUGUGAAUCUGGAAGAUUGAACUAUCUUAUUUUGUUGCUUUCAUGUCAUUGAGGUUCCUCUUUAUGGGGCAUGAUUCUCCCAGAAACAGACUUACCAAGUAUAGAUUUAAUUGAAAUGUAAAUGUUUUUCAUUAAUGUUGGGUAUUAUAUUUAUGAUAUACAUAUAUGUUUAAAGGUAUUACAUGUAUGCAUUUAUAUGUGAAAAUUUAAAGAAAGUAUUGUGAUACAAAUGAGAAGGGCAGAGAGGAAAAGACAAUAGAGUAAGAAAGAGAAUUGAGUUCAAUUUCCAAUUCUUAGAAUAAAGUUACAGUGAAACAGAGAAUUUUGCCUGUUUUUGCAGUGUAACAGAGAACAGUGUUUGGCACUUGGGAGAUGUUCAGAAAUAUAUAUUGAAAGAAUGGACUGCAAACCACUCUACUGUCAAGUUUUGGCUUCUGGAUGUGUAAAACUGACGAUUAUCUCCAAGGUUCUUUUUCAUUUUAAAAUUCUAGAACUUCAUUGUAAUUUUUAGGUCAAUUUAUAAGUUAUUUUUAAGGUUUCCCAAAUCAUUUUAUUCUCUUGUAUGGUAUAUGAGGAAGGAUGAACAGUUAUUAAAGAUGAUAAAAUACACAAAGGAAAUCUGAUUUAGGAAUCUCCCUUGCAUUUGCUGAUAUUUAGCCAUCUCAUGAAGUCAGUAUUGAUCAAUGGCAAAGUGGCAGUCAAAAACAUUUUAAUCUUGGAAUGGCUGAAUAAUAGUGUAUGUUCUAUGCUGGUGGUACUGCAACAGUUUGGUUUGAAAAUGGGAGGUAUAAGGGACACUGAGAAAAUAACCCUCACCUGAAGAAGGAGGACGGGAAAAACUUAGAAACCCUUUCGUCUGAAAGGAGUUGGAGGGACGGGGUGUGCUGAUUUGAGACACGUGCGAGUCCUGGUAGCUGCCUUCUAAGGAGUGAUGCUUCCCUCUGCUGUGGGCAGAGUCGGAGUCCCUGGGGCAGAUGGAGCUUCUAACCCCACCCUGGAACACAGUGCACUGUCAGAGCCGACAGUGGAGCACCUGCUGAGCCACCGACUGCAGUCCUGGAACGUCCAACUUCA
rnacentral:lncRNA from 1 species